UGAGGAAUAUUGGGCAAUGGACGAGAGUCUGACCCAGCCAUGUCGCGUGCAGGAAGACGGCUUUAUGAGUUGUAAACUGCUUUUAUAUAGGAAGAAACCCUUCGACGUGUUGGAGGCUGACGGUACUAUA
rnacentral:rRNA from 1 species